GUCCCAGCCGUAAACGAUGGACGCUAGGUGUGGGGGACGAUCCCUCCGUGCCGCAGCCAACGCAUUAAGCGUCCCGCCUGGGGAGUACGGCCGCAAGGCUAAAACUCAAAGGAAUUGACGGGGGCCCGCACAAGCAGCGGAGCAUGUGGCUUAAUUCGAAGCAACGCGAAGAACCUUACCAGGGCUUGACAUGUGCGUGAAGCGGGGGAGACCCCGUGGCCGAGAGGAGCGCACACAGGUGGUGCAUGGCUGUCGU
rnacentral:rRNA from 1 species